AUCUCGUUGACGAGUCCCAAAUAAGACGAAACACACGUCCUGUAU
rnacentral:hammerhead_ribozyme from 1 species